rnacentral:rRNA from 1 species
AGUGAACGCUGGCGGUAGGCCUAACACAUGCAAGUCGAACGGCAGCACAGUAAGAGCUUGCUCUUACGGGAGGCUAGUGGCGGCCGAGUGAGGAAAACAUCGGAAUCGACUUUUACUUGGGGUGUAACGUAGGGAAACUUACUCAAAUACCUCAUACUACCUACGGGUGAAAGCAGGGGCCCUUCCCACCUUCCAGGAGCCAUUGAGCCGAAGCCGGAUGCGCUAGUUUGCGCGGGAAAGGCCCACCAAGGCGACGAUCCGUAGCCGGUCUGAGAGGAUGAUCAGGCACACUGGAACUGAGACACGGUCCAGACUCCUACGGGAGGCAGCAGUGAGGAAUAUUGGACAGUGCGCGCAAGCCUGAUCCAGGCAUACCGCGUGGGUGAGGAAGGCCUUCGCGUGGUAACGCCCUCUUGUUGGGAAAGAAAAGCAGUAGGCUAGUACUCCGCUGUUCUGACGGUACCCAAAGAAUAAGCUCGCGCUACCUUCGUG